ensembl:lncRNA
CCGCACCGUUGGUACGACUCUUUAAAAACAGAUUAUUAUGAAGAUGGGAUAAUCUACGCGUGAAAGGAGACUAACUGGCAAAGUAAACAAAUAAAUAAAAAGUAACUCUGAGUGACAGGUCGUUGAGCCGGAGUUAUUGAUAGAUUCCACAAAGCGAUACCGUUGGAUCGAUGUCUCCCCGCCGAGGGGUCCGCAGCCCCCCACCAGCUAAAGUCCAAUAAAGCGCCGGAGCUGGGCUAGGAUCUGGAUCAACAGUCCUGGAGUCAUAAAGAAGCGGCCGUCGGUCCAGCAGCAGUACAUGAGGCUGUGCGGGAUGGGGCUCGGCCCUGGGCAGGGGUGGAGGUGGG